rnacentral:rRNA from 1 species
CAGUCGCCGCGGUAAUACGUAGGUGGCAAGCGUUGCCCGGAAUUAUUGGGCGUAAAGGGCUCGCAGGCGGUUUCUUAAGUCUGAUGUGAAAGCCCCCGGCUCAACCGGGGAGGGUCAUUGGAAACUGGGAAACUUGAGUGCAGAAGAGGAGAGUGGAAUUCCACGUGUAGCGGUGAAAUGCGUAGAGAUGUGGAGGGACACCAGUGGCGAAGGCGACUCUCUGGUCUGUAACUGACGCUGAGGAGCGAAAGCGUGGGGAGCGAACAGGAUUAGAUACCCGAGUAGUCCCUGUCUCUUAUAC